AGAAACUGAAACCGCCUUGAUGGAGCUUUGAGUCAGAAUUUUCGGCAUUGUUCUUUAUGUAUGUGAUAGAUUUGUAUAACAACGGAUUUGAUUGUGUAUUAGAGCAGGAACUAGGAAUCAUUAUGCGAUUUUUCUUUUCUCAUUUACUGUUUUUUAUUGGAUAUGUUUUUUUUUUGAGGAUUCAACUGUGGAGUAUCCAAGGUUGCUGAAGUCCCAUUUGUGCCUUUCCACGAUAAUUAAGAGGUUUGCACCCGACAGACUCUGAAUUUCGAGUCUUCAGCUAUAUCAUCCUGUUUGUUGAAAUGCAUGAUAUUCUGUUUUUGGAACUCUUUGCUGUUUGAGAUUCUUCUUUGCAAUUGUCUAAUGUGUAUAGAAUACCAGUACUGCUAGGGUACUUGGAACAUCUUACAAUGUCUUUGGUACUAAAUUAUAUGGCAUUUGUUGUACGGAAAAAAUUAUUUUAAUUUAUUGAAUGUGAUUUUGAUCGCGUCUUUUAGGUAAAAAUUUGUUGUAAAUAUACAAGCGGGCCCUGCAUUAUUCAUAAAGUUUAUGCUAAUGAAGUUGAAGUCUGUCUACGAUUGCGGAUGCCCUUGUUUUAUAUCUCUUUGAUUAUCAUAUACAAAAAAGUCUCAUUUUGUUCUUUUUUUUUUUUUUUUUUUGUCAUUUUAGCUCUUGAACUUUUUUUUUUCAUUUCUUCUGACCAAAUUAAAAGAUAAUUGAAUCAAAUUUAUCGACUAAGAACAAAAUUAAAAGAUGAAGGGUUAAAGUUGAAAAGACACUAUAAAUAGUUGAUGGCGUCAAUGUUCUUAUAAAAAGUUUAUUUUAGUCCUGUAACUUUUAUAUUUUACCUAUUCGAUCCCUCAAUUUUUGCAAUUCAAUUUUGAUUAAAAAAAAUUUUAUUUUUUAUUUUUUUGUUCCUGAUUUUAUAGAAAAUAGAGAUAAUCAUAUUCCGGCGAUAGAAAGAGAAAAUGGCUUUAACAUCGAUUUUGACCAUUAAAAUAGUUGAUCUUAGUGUCAAUAAGUUUUAUUUGUUGAGAGUAGUUUCACUUAGGUGUUUUUUUUAUCUUGAAAAUGCCUAAAAAACUAGAUAAAAAGCUUGAAAAGAUAUUUGAUUUUGUGUUAGACUUUGAGUGUUUUUUAAGAUCAUUAUGAGUUUGUAAGAUGUUUAGUAUUUUAGGUUUUUUAGGUUAAAAAGACAGAUUUUAUGAUUGGAUUUUUAGGAAAACCAGACGAUGUGUAGUCUAUAAUUUUUUUUAAAAAAAUAUAUAUCAAGAAAGAGUUGUCAACAACUGCAUUAAAAAAUCAUAGAGCCCAUGCACGGGCCUUUUCUAAUUGGGCCAGGCAUUGGCUUGGCAUCUUUGUUUUUUUUUUCUUCUUUUAUAAGUUUGUUCUUUUAAAAAAAAUCAUGUUUUUUUAUAUGUUUUUUUUAAAUGAUUUUAUAAUUUAUAUUUAAACUAAUAUUUUUUUUUGUUUUUUAUUUUUUGUAUUUAGCUUGUUAUAAAUAGUGAUUGUUAUUUUAAUUAUUUUUUUUGUAUUUAAUUUUUUAAGAUAUUAUUCUACUUCAUCUAUAGUUUUUAUUUUUAUAUAAUUGAGAUUUAUUUUUAAAAAUAAAAAAUAUUUAUUUUUGGAUAUUAUUUCUAAUAAGUGCAGAUAUAUUUUUUCCUCUGUCUAUUUCUACCAUCAUUUGAUUAAAAAAAUUGAUAUUAAUAAAUAGAAUCAUUGAAUAUAAUCAAGUAAAUUAUUUAUUUAUAUUGUGAUAUUAAAUAUUUUAAUUUAUAUUUACUUCUUGAUUUUUUUAGAUAUAUAUUUAGUUAUUGUUAAUAAUGUUUUUUAUUUAAUAUCAAUUUAAAAUAAAGGUACAAUCAAUAGUAAGAGACUUUCAAACCAAAAGCACCAGUCACCGCACAAAAAGAAGUGUAAAAGCAAACUUGAGCAGAAGAAGUUGCUGAAAGAAAAGGAAGGAACUCAACAACAGAGCUGCUGCAGCAAAUGAAACGACAAACAGAAGUCAUCGCACGUGUAGAUGCGAGCUAAUCAAUAAUAUGGAGUGUUUGUAAUUGUAAUUCUAUUGAUUUUUAAAAUAUUUUUUAUUUAAAAAUAUAUUAAAAUAAUAUAUUUUUUAUUUUUUUAAAAUUAUUUUUGAUAUCAGCACAUUAAAAUGAUUUAAAAAUACAAAAAAUAUUAAUUUAAAACAAAAAAAAUUAAAAAAGUUUCAAAAGCGUUUUUAAAACGCAAAAACAAGCAGCUCCAAUUGAGAUUGUGAUAGUAGAUGCGGUUUAACGUGUUUUUCGUUUAGAAAUACCUCAAUAUUUUUUUUAUUUUUAAAAAAUUAUUUUUGAGAUCAGCAUAUUAAAACGAUUAGAAAACAUAUAAAAAAAUAUUUUAGCUAAAAAACAAAAUUUAAAAUUUAAAAGAACGUAAUUUCAACUGCAUUCCCAAAAAAUCUCUUAUUACCCUCCAUUCCUUCAAUUUUAAUUUUUUAUAUAUUAUUUUUUCUGAUUUGAUCCUUAUCAUUUUUAUUUUUAUUUUUCUUUCCUUGGUCUUUUUGUUAAAGUCUUAGUGGUUUUUAAUUUUAUCAUUCAAUCUAAUUUUAUGGUAUAUUUGUUUUUCAAUUUGAUCCUGAUUCUUUGAGUUUUUCUUCUUUUCAAUUUAAUCGUCAAAUAAAAUUUUUUUUAUUACCCUCUAAUUUAUUUUUUAUUUUGAUUUUCGUACUCAUUAUUUUAAUUGUUAUUUUUUUAUUCUUUUGUGUAAUUGAUUUAUUUUGUUGAUCUUAUCCUUAAACGUUUGAUUUGCUGGGAUUAGGUUUUGCAGUUUUUUCCUAGUCAUAGAUUUAAAAAGUUUAACGCAGAUUGACAUAUUUUUUUACUUAUUUUCUUUUUGAUUUUGAUAUUUGGCAUUGAUUUUUUUUUAAAAAAAAAUUGGCCUUCUAGACCUCGUGACCAAGGUCAGAGGUUUUGAAGGUUGAAACGAGUUGACUUUGAUUUUUUUUUAGAUUCUUUUAUAAAAUUGAUUUAUUUUCAAUUUCAUCAUUCAACAUUUUCAAUUUUUUUUGGAUUGGUCUUCGUACUUUUUUUUUUCAUUUCCUAUUUUGUGGGGUUAUCCUAAUCCUAAAAUCAUGAUCGCGGGGUUAGCGAGUUAACUCAGGUUGACUCAAAUUUUUUUUUUCUCUUUGUUUUUUUUUAUUAUUUUUUUCAGUUUUAUCCCUUAAUAUUUUUUCGUUGAGGAUUUGCUUUGUUGUUUUUUUUGUUUGUCUUCUAUGCUAUCGGUCCCAAUCUCAUGACCACAAUCAUGAGUUUCAAUGAUUUAUUUGGGCUGACUUCGGUUUUUUAGGUCUUUUUAAUUUUUUUUUUAAUUUCUUCAUUUGAGAUUUAUUUUUUUUUAAAUUAAUUUUCAUUCUUUUUUUUUCACUUUCCAUUCACAUUUGAUUUUUUUGUUAAAUUAAAUAUUUUAAUUUUAGUUAUUUCUUGAUUAAAUAUUGAUUUAUUUAAUUAGAUCCAUGUAUAAACAUUUUAAUUUAUGAUUGAAUUUUUAUUUAUUUGCAAAGACACAAUGAAAAAGGUUGUUUAUUGUUUUUAUUGAAAAAGAAUAUUCAACAUAGUAUUAUAAAUAAGAGAAGAAUUCCACUUUAAAAUAAAUUGCAAGCCACGCAUUAAUUGGGGAAAAAAAAAGGGAGAGAGAAUGAUUUGACAAGGUUUAUUUAAAUUGAAAAUCAAACCUUGUCAAAUCAUUUAGUUCUAAUUUGGUCAUUAAUUCGUCCAUGCAUCCAUCGUCGUUAUAUACCAACAGUAAAUCAGUUUCUUAACUAACCAUAUGCCACCGUGUAUCCUUUAAAUACUUUUAAAUUAUUGAGAUUUUGGUACGUAAUACUAUAAUAACUAUUUGAUGAUUUAGAAAAAAUAAAUAAAUAAAUUAGGAAAAUAAUAAACUUUAUCAAGUAGCGAUUUUUUGAACUUUAAACUACAUUAUAUGUAGUAUAAAUGCAAUAUCUAUGAAUGUGCUUGUUGUUGUGUGUAUAUAUAUCAUUUUAAUUGUACAUACACUUACAAUUUACUAUUCACUUCAAUACUAUAAUUAUGUUUUUCAAGUUCUCAAAAAAUUCAAAUGCCUUGAUGGUAGGAGUAUUUCAAUUAUUUUGUACGACCAUUAGCUAUUAAAUGAUUGGCCGAGAAUAUAAAUAUUUAUUUAUUUUUUAAACAUAAUAAAAUAAUUUAAUUAUCCUUUGAGUAAAAACAUUUAGCAAAGAAGGGUAUUUUGUCUUUUAAUACAAUAAAAUAACAAGUUUAUCCUUGAAAUAAAAAUAAAUAAAUCAUGUGUCAAUGGGCCUCUUGAUCCUUUCACUCUCGUUUUUUUUUUUAUUGUUAUUACCAAGUUCAUUGAGGGCAAUUUGAUCACUUGCUAAGGGUUAACUAUUAUUUAAAUGAAAAAAUUGUUGGCGCAUCACAUGCGCUAAAAUAUGGGAGGCACCCGCGCAUUUAGGAUGGCGUAUGUGAUGUCUUAUGGUGGAAAAAAAUGUCUUUCCAUCAUGUUGUUAGAAACGCCACCACAUUCUCUUUUUAUUGGUGCGACUCAUUUCAACAGUGGUGGGGCAGUUUGUCGUCGAUGAUGUUUUUUUUUUUUUUCUUUUCUCUCUCCUCCCUGAAAAGUUAUAGGUUGAUCAUUUUUGUUGUUAAUAUUUCAAUUUCAUUCCUUAUUCUUUUGAUUUUUAAUUUUGUUCUUAGCCCUUUUGUAAAACAAUAUUUAUUUUUGAUUUUAUUAUUCAAUUCUAAUUUUUCAUAUGUUAUUUUUUUUAAUUUGAUCCUUAUUAUUUUGAUUUCUAGUUUUUUUCCUUGGUCAAUUUCGUAAAAGUUUUAUUAGUUUUCAGUUUUAUCCUUCAAACUAGCUUAUGGUAUAUUAUUUUUUUUCAAUUUGAUCCUCAUUCAUUUGAUUUUUUUUCCUUUUGUUAUACUUAUUUUUUUUUUCAAUUUAACUCUUUGAUAAAAAAAUUGUAAUUGCCCUCUAAUUUAUUCUUUAUUUUUAUCUAUAUUCUUUUAAUUGCUAUUUUUUUCCAAUUUCAUCGCUCAAUGUUUGAUUUGUUGGGAAUUGAGCUUCACAUUUUUUUCAUGUAUGGUGUUUCCAGUCUAAUAACUCGGGUCACAAAUUUUAAAAAGUUAAUGGGUGUUGACAUUCUUUUUUUUUACUUAUUUUCUUUUUCGACUUUAUUGACUAAGAUUAGUUUUUUUUUAAAAAAAAUUGGCUUUGUGUUUUUCUCUGAUUUCUUUUUUAUCGGGUUAUCCUGAUCUCAUGACCUAAGAUACAAGUUUGGUAGGUUAAUAUGGGCAACCUCACCCUUUAUUGCUUAGGUUACAUGUCUAUCAUGCAAACUAAGAUUGACUCAUGUUUGUUUUUUAAAUUUAUUUUACUUAAUUUAUCAUUUCAUAUUUAAUUAGCUAAAAAUUAAACAAUAUCCUGUUUUUAUCCACUUAUGGAAAAGUGUUUUUUUCCUAUAUCACUAAGAUCGCUUUUUUUAAAAUUUGUUUUUGUCUGGUUAUUAUUGUUGCUUUUUUUUUUUCAUAUGAUUAAAAUAAAAUUAGCUUAUUUAUUUAGUGGGGACUAUAACUUGAAUUAUAUAUAUAUAUUUUUAAAUAUACUUGCAAUAUCUAAAUAUUAUUUUAAAAAAAUUAAUGCGGACCCGUGUCUAGUUUAUACGAAUACUAGUUACUUGUAUUAGUUAAUUCCAUGUAGUUUCACAACUUGGGAAAUUAAAUAUAUAUAUAUAUAUAUAUUUAGUUUAACGUGGGUGUCCGGGCCAGCUUGCGUGCACCUCGACUAAUCCCACGGGCCCUGAAGUUAACGACCAUGUAAGCCUCCACUGGUCAUCAUAUGAGCAACCACAGGGCUCGAACCUGAGACCAUAAAGGGAGCAAAUCUCUUAGUCCUAAGCUCUUACCACUGGACUACCACCUAGAUGGUUGGAAAUUGAAUAUAUUUACUGGAUAAGUUAGCGGUGAUUAGUUGAUUCAAUUGAAACAAAUUAUGGGUUGUUUACUGUUGCGGUGUCGUUGUAUUUUUUUUUAAAAUAAUUUGUUAUAUUAAUAUUAAAAAUAAAUUUAAAAAAAUAAAAAAUAUUAUUUUAAUAUAUUUUUAAAUAAAAACAUUUUAAAAAACUACUAUACUAUAAUUUUAAGUUAAUUUAUAUUUAUAUUUAUAUUUAAAUUAUAUUUAUUAAAUUAAUAUUUUAAAUUAUAUAUAUAAAAAGAACAAGCAUGUCAAAACACUAACUGAAACAAAAUUGACCACCUUGGAAUUGAGCUCCAAAACCUCAAUUUGUUCCCUUAGUCAAUCAAACAAGGCAACGAAAUGAUGACACUAAGGAUUUAAAGUUGAUCGGUAAAGAGUCCAGGCAAAAGCAAUUUAAUAAAUAACUAGUUAGGGAUAUCCAUUUUACGUUACGUUACGGGUAAGAUUCCAAAACAAAUUGCAAUAAUUGAGAACAUAACAAAAAAAAAAUAAAAAUAUAUAUAUAUAUUUGUAAAACUUCUAAUUACAAAUAAAAAUAGCAAGAUUAUGAAUACAAGUUCGAUCCCUAGAAAACAUAUUUAUUAGAAGGGAUAUCCACGAACCCCGAACCGAAUUAAUCUCAUCCUUUAAAAGAAUGUAAAGAUACUCGGAUAAAAAAAAAUAUAAAUCAAUAUAGUUGAUACCAAUAAAAUUUUGUUAACAUAUAAAAUUAAAAAUAAAUAAAAUUCAGCAAUCUAAAUGAAAAUAUAACAAAAAAAAGGAGCUCCAUUUUUUUUCUUUUCAUCAAUAUGAGAUGAACAGAAAAAAAAACACACGCAGAUCAAUGUAGAUGUUAAUAACAUGUAAGGACUUAAUUGAAAAUAAAUAUAGUUAAGUAAUUAAAUUAAAAAUGUAAAAAAAGAAAGUAGCUCCAAUUUUUUUGUUCUUCAUGAACAGAGAAAAAAAAACGAAAUCUUAUAGUUCAUUUGAUGAUAAUAAACAGCUGACGUCAGCGUCCUUUUCAAAUUGUCCAAUUGAAAUUCUCUCCCCUCCAGCAUUGUCCAUUUCAAAUUCUCUCCAAACGUGACUGCCUUUAUCACUCUGGGUCCCAUUUAAAAAAAAAUUUAAAACGAAAAAACAAUUUCAAGCAACCCUUUCACUUUCUCUACAUUACAAAAUUUCCCCAUUUGCUCCCUUCUUUUCGUAAAUAAACAACUCCUCAGGGACCUUCAAUUCAAAAAAAGAAAAAAGAAAACUCUCUCAGUCGAAACAAUAAUAAAAUACUGAUUUUUUAAAAAGCGAAAACCAACCAGAAAGAAAUCGAAGGGAGAGGGGUUGUAGUCUGUAGAUGACGAUGGACAGAGAGAAGGAGAGAGAGAUAGAGUUGGAGAGUGCAAUGUAUACAAACUGUUUAUUAUUAGGUCUGGAUCCGAGUAUAAUCGGACUCGGACCUUCAUCAAAUGGCACUCCCCGGGUCGGACUUUUCCGUCACUCCAACCCUAAACUCGGUGAACAGCUUCUUUACUUCAUCCUCUCCUCGCUUCGCGGUCCUGCUCAAUCCGCCAAAGUAAUAUUUUCAUUUUCUCCUUUUUAGAUAUAAUGUUCCUUCCUUGUAUGCAAGUGUUGAUAAUUUCUUUUCGCGAUCGAUCUUGUCAGGAUUUUGAUAAGGUGUGGCCGAUUUUUGAUUCCGCUCAGUCACGUGAUUUUCGUAAGGUUAGUAAUUUGAUUAGUUGUGAUUUCGUUGAAUUUUCCGCAAAGGUUAGAUUUUGUUUUUGUGUUUUAUUUUUGCUUUUGUUUUUUUGUUGUUUGUUGUGGUUGAAAUGUUAGGUUGUGCAAGGUAUAAUCAGUGAGCUUGAAUCGCAAGGGGCACUUCCAAGGAGCAAUUCAAGGGUUUCUUCCCUUGCUACUUGUUGUGGACCGAGGUAGUUUUUUUUUUUUUUUUUUUUUUUUAUAUUUGGUCAAUGUUUUUUAAAAUUUUUGAAAAGUAUAGAAACGAAACUAGAGAUAAACCAAAUGUGUUCAUCUUGCAGUGCUCUCAACUUGGCCAAAUAGUUGGGUCAAGUUAAAUUCAGUAUUGGUUUUAAGUUCUGCUGUCUUAUGAAAAUCUCGGUUUCUUAGUAAAAUGGAUGCUUUCUGUUCAUAUAUAGGAGCGCUAGAGGGUAAUGUGUGUCUGCCAUAAGCAAGUUGAUGACUUGGAACGCUUGUUUCCUAGUGAGAACUCAUAUGAUUUGGCAUGUUCGUGAGUGCAUAUAUUCUGAAUGGGUUUUGUAUCUUUGUGAAAUAAUCAAGAAAAUUUACUUGCAUAAGUUGCUACAAUUGUAAGUGGUUCAUAAUGCAUGCAGAUUUUUGUAUUUUAAAAUGACUUUCAAGGCAUCCAUUGAGAGCAUAGAAUUGUGUGGAAGUUAAUGAUAUUUAUUUUUGGCUUAAUGCAAAAGUUGUAUGUGCAGAUUUGUUGAACUCUUGUGGCAACUUUCCUUGCAUGCUUUGAGAGAGGUUCACAGACGGACAUUUGCGGCUGAUGUUGCUUCAAACCCACUUCCUGCUUCAUUAACUGAUGUAGCCUUCCAACAUGCAGCUACAUUGCUUCCUGUGACAAAGGUAAUACUAUACUCACGGUCCUUGUUAUCUAUGUUUAAAGUUAUCUAACCACAGGUCGUUCUCAUGGCAAGUGGAUAUUUGAAAUUGUGAUCAAAUUUUCUAAAUCCACCUAUAAAGUCUUUCAAUCAGGCAAUGCAUGCAUGGCUAUUGCGCCUUCAUUUUUAUGGAGAUUCUAAAUGCACUGACAUCAAAGAACACUUCUGAAAAGGUUGAAACUUCCUUUGUUAAACUGUAACUAUAAGUGGAUCAUAAUUUGGAAAGGAUUUUCUAAUACAAUAUUCGUUUCUGCAGUUUCAUGUAUUUGUUUCCUCUGUGGAUGAAUUACCAGUAUCAUAAGUUAUUAUCCAUAUGAAUUAUUCAAGGUUGCUUUUCUAAACUUUGCAUGUUAGUGAGCAAUUCAAAUGUUGGAAAGGUUUUAAGAAAGGAGCACUGUUUUUUCUGGUCUUUUUUCCCUAUUCUCUCUUUUGAUGCAUUUUAAUUACAUCUAUGCUUCAAUUUUGGUAGCAGUGAUUUGAAACUCUCUCCUUAAACAGGCAAGAAUAGCCCUCGAAAGAAGGAGGUUUCUUAAAAAUGCUGAAACUGCGGUUCAGAGACAAGCUAUGUGGUCAAAUUUGGCUCAUGAGAUGACAGCUGAGUUCCGUGGUCUUUGUGCAGAAGAGGUAAUGGGAAACUCAUUUACUUUGUUUGUGAUGCAUUUAGGAUGCAGCUGCCUGUUUUCCUCACACUUCCCUAUUGAAAACUCGGAUGUCAGGCUUAUUUGCAGCAAGAGUUGGAAAAACUACAUGACUUGCGGAACAAAGUGAAGCUAGAAGGUGAACUGUGGGAUGAUCUUGUGUCGAGCUCUAGCCAGAAUUCGCAUUUAGUUUCGAAGGCAACUCGCUUGUGGGAUUCUAUACUUGCUCGAAAAAGUAAGUCUUAAUUAUGGAAGUUUUCUUUUUUAUUUUCUUACAAAAUCUAACUAUUUAAUUUGUUUGAAUAAAUAAAUUAGGUUUUUCUUGGAAAUAAUACCGUAAUUGAGGGGGUCAAUUGUUUUCUUUUGAAACAAAUUUCCUUCUAUCAGGUUCCUUCGUUCGCUUACAAGAGUAAUUACUAUAAGUUGUUUCCGUUUGAUGAUGAGUUUAGUUGAUAUAACAAAUGGUCACUUUUCAUAUUUUUUCUGUACUUCUCUGUUAUCAUGAGGGACUCAGUACUUACAUUUGGAUGCAUACCGCUAUGAUAUGUAGUUACCAUGGACAUGAUACUUGUGCUUUGAAACGUGUAUGGUUGAGCUUGUCAUUCCUCUAGGGCUUGACCUGCAUAUUUUUAGGUAGAUAAAUAGACUGCCUGAUUAUCUCAAUCUACUCCUAGUUGAUUUUAAGGCUUGUUUUCUGAAUCUAUUCUUUAUGCUAGUAGUUUUCGGGAUGAACAGAAAGGAUGGCAAUACGCCUUUGGAAUUUGUAUCUUCUUGUCCUGGACAUUUUGCUUCAAAAGUAAUUUAUCGAUGUCUUUUGGGCAUAACUUGUACUUCCUAAAAAAGUUUUUUGCCUUUUUUCUGGUAAAUUUCUAAUAUUCUUAAUCUUUUUUGUGUUGAUUUCAAUGGUCUGUUUACUUGUUUUCCUCCUAUGUUCUAAUAGCUGAUUCUUGAUUAUCAUGGGCAUUCUCAAUAAUAUGGUCCAAUAUGUAAAAGGCAGAUAAAAAAUUGUAGGGAUGGGAUCCGACCUCAUAUACCCUAACUGUAUAUGAAUGCUGUUCCCUUCAUUACCUAUGUUUGAUUGUCACAGACAGUUAGAUCUGAAGGGUUCAUGCUUUCAUUCUCAUGAUUGGAUAUCAUUUUCAACUCAUUCUCAUGAUUGGAUAUCAUUUUCAACCAAGGAAAUUAUCAAUUGUGUUGUUACACUUACUUCACUUUAUAUGCACAUGAAAAUAUUCUUUUGCUUGCUUAUAUUACUAUUAAUCACUUGUUACCCAAAAAAAUGUGUGGCCUCUUGAUGAAAAUUUCUGUGACUAUCAAUUUGCAUGCUUCUUAAAAUUUGAUGCUAGUAUCUGCUCCUAUUAAAUAGUACAUAUACUGCUACUUUUCUGUAAUUCCAGUAACUUUGUUAACUUGUCAUUGAUUUUACCUUUAUUUACAGGUCAACAUGAAGUUCUUGCUUCAGGGCCAAUUGAGGACCUGAUAGCUCAUCGGGAGCAUAGGUAAUUAAGAUCGGAUAUUGUGCUAGGUUCUGAAGAUGUCAAUUUAUCUUAUUCCUCUUCGUGCGUAAUAUUCCUUUACAGAUAUCGCAUCUCUGGAUCAUCUUUGCUCUCUGCUAUGGAUCAGAGCUACCAGGUUUCUUAUUCAGAUAAACAUUCGGAUGACAAGGAACAUAGUGAUGGAUCUUAUGCUAAUGGAAAUGGGGAAAAGUCAAAGAGUAGUAUGGAUUCGUCUCAUCUACAAGUAAAUGAUGAGAUGCAUUCUCGAGUGGAUGAUAGAGGUGGAAGAGUCCAGCCUACUGUUGAUGUAGCAGAAAUUAUAAGGCGUUGGACACAUGCAUUGCAACGUAUUCAUAAACAGUCACUUCUUCUGGUAUUCUAUUUCUUUGUCUGGUCAUGAGCUCCUUUAUUUAAUUGGUAUUUGUAAAAACAGAUUCCUUCUGCAUACCAAGCCAAGGCCUUCAUUACUUACAUGCUAAUGAUUAACUGCUAUAUGGCAUAUGAUUAAAAGUGUGUUGGUGCAAAAUUGAGGUUAUAGAUAUCUAUUAAAAGUUUGAUAUUGCAAAGUUUUGAGGUUGUAGAUAUUUGUGCAAUACGAAGUUUGAGUUUACUAGGUGAAAACAAGACAUAUUUGAUGUUUGUUCUUUGCAAUCUUGUGUUGAUUUUCUUUACAACAUGGACACAACCUGAUUAUCCUGUGAUUUACUUCUACUCUACUUAUCAAGGUGUUUGGUUUACUCUACUUAUCAAGGUGUUUGGUUUUGAGCGUGUUGGAAGAGCAUGGAGGUCUGGAAAAGAAUACAAAAUGUCAUUCUUGAUGUCAUUAUCAUCAGUGAAUCUCGGAUGCAAGCCAUUUGUCAUUAGAUCUUAGUUUUGUUUUUUUUUUUUCAUGAUUUUUUUAAAAAGGAAUGUUCUCUUUUUUGUUUGUAGAUCAAAUACUUUUAUUAUACUGAACUGUGUCUUUUUGUGUGAGAACUUGCCCUCUAAUGGCAUACUAUUUUUGCUUUGGAAGCAGAUGUGCAAAGUAUAUUGUUGAGUAUUUCCUCUACUCUUUUUUUAGUAUUCCUAAUGUUUGUCCGCUUUGUUUUUUCCAGAUAUUAUUUGAGAAUUCAAAAAAUGCUCUUUGAUAAGAAUGUCACUAUAAAGAAAGAAAGUAGUUUGUUAUGGAAAAUGAUUAUUAAAAUUAAUUCAUCCCAUUAAAAUGUCUUAAUACAGGAGAAGGAUAAAACAGGUGUGACAGUAGUAUUAAUGAAUUAGAGAAGCCCAUGCUUUUCAAUCCAAGAACUUAUCAGUUGUUGAUUGGAUUUUGCUUGUCAAUUGUCAUUGAUGAUGUAGUGAACUGCUAUUGUGCAACAUUUUCUUUGUAGGCAAAAGCUAAUGAUGGAGAAGGUCCAGAUAUAUUAAGAAAUGCACUCGAUGGUGGUACUAGUGGCCAUGGUGAAUCUUUAGCUGCAACUCUUGCAGAACAUCAGCAACACCUGAGUAGUUUUCAGGUAAUGAAAUAAUCUUUUGUGCACCAGAUGUGAGCUUCCAGUUAGCUCUUGGCUUUCGAUUUAACAAUUUGAGUGUCAGCUUGAUGUUGGCUUAAUUCCUCUGGACAUAUUGGGUAUUUGUGUGCCUGUGUUUUAUUCUCUUGUGAUGUGCAUUGACAACAAGAUAGUUGUUUAUACUUCCUUAAAUGUCUCAUUUUGUUCACAGAAUGAGCAUGCAUCAUAAUGAUCUUGACCCCUUCAUAAUCAGGCUCAAGAUCUGAGGAGUUGAUGCUUGUUGCACACAGAUUAAGGAGUUUAUAGUAGAUUAACUUUUGAAAACCUGAAACCAUGGAUGCAGCUGCUUCCCUGUAUUUGUCACUUUAAGACCCAGAAUUUGUGGUUCUGAUAUAAUAACUUGGAAGUGGGAUAGUCAAGCUUUAUGGAUAUUCCUUGUAGCAGACAUCAGUGAGUUACUGUAAUUGUCAUUGUUCAAUUUUUUGAUGGGUGACCUUUGAGUUUCUAGUCAUGCUUGUGCAGCAAUUGAGAGGACUGAUCCUUGCUUUUUCCAAGUGUUAGAACUUACUGGACUGUACACAAAACCUUUCCCUAAUGCAAACCUCAACCAUGUGUAUUCACCUGUUAAAAUGAUGAAUAGCAACACAUGUACCUUGUAUAAAUGAAAUUGGCAUGGAUGUGCUGAAUUACUGAUGUUAUGAACCCAAUUGUCUUAAUGGAAUGAUAUUAGAUUACCUUAUUUAUUUAUUUUUAUUAUUAUUAUUUUUUUCAUUUAUGAGCACUUGCAUUAUGUUCUUCAGGUCACCAGGCUUUCCUACUUACCAGAGGCUAUGUUGAGGAUUUUUUCCAGUCUAAUACGAUUUUUUUUGUAGGGACUUAUUGACCAACUUAAUGAAGUUGUUCCAUCAAUACAAAAUUCAAUAUCAGAGUGUACAGAUAAAGUAAAUAAUAUUUCUUCCAGCCAGCCACCAAUGGCCAAGCAUCAUGGUCGAGCAACCUCACCUAUACAAGCUCAAAGCAGUGGAAGGACCUUGGUAAUUUUUAUGAAUGAUAAGUUCAUGCAAAAUAUUAUGCCCAAUGUUGAAUAACUCAUCAUGUAAAACUGUGUUUUUUUUUCCUGUUAGGAAACUAGCUCUGAUAAUGUUGCGGAGGUGACUUCAAAACUUUCCACAGUUCAGCUUGACAAGGUAUCUGCUAGUCCCCCUGCUUUGAAGCUACCGCACUUAUUCAGUUUGACCCCAAAUUCUUCUGGAAAAGGUGCAAACUUGCAAAAGAGACAAAUGUUAGCUCCCCAAACCAUCCAAAUGGAAAAUCUUUCUGAAAGAAACUCUCUGGACCAGCCUUUAUCAAAUGAUCGCUUAGAUAAUCCAUUGCAAGGUUUGCUAAUUCUCUCUGCCACCUGCUUUAUCCAUUCUGCAUAGGUAUCACACUUGUUGGCUUGUUGAAAGUGUUUGCAGUUUAUCAAUUAAAAGAAUUUCUGAUUUUGAAUGCUUUAGUUGGAGAGUUUGAUUUUGUGUGUUUGUAGAUGGAGAAAAUUUUGUUCAAAACUUAAAGAGAUCCGUAAGAGAAGCUGCACUGUCUAUGCAAUCUUGCAAUUCAGAAUCAUCUCGUAACAGCCAGUCUGAUGAAAGUUCUGAACACUUCUUUUUACCUCUUUCAUCGCCUGGAUUUUCUAUGGUCCCAGAAAACAAAGUAGUCUCAACAAGAAGUAAAAGAUUUUCUGCAUCUCAAAUGAACACUGCUUUGCUUGAGAAACAUGCUCGAGAUGGCCAUGCUGGAAGCAAGUACAAAGAAUUACCGGAAAUUCUAAAUGACUUGGGUCCACUUACUGACUAUGAUCACGUAAAUGGCUUCCUCUCAGUUGCUGGUUCAAAUGGUGCAAUAUCUGAUGGUCAGAGGUCCUUCAAUGAUUUUGAGGAACCUUAUGCUCAAGUAUUCUCCCCUCCUUUGCUGUUGGAUACGUCCCUUUUACCAGAUUCAUACGAGGACUUACUUGGUAUGUUGCUUUGGGUGAAAUGCUCCUGUUAUAGGCAUCUAUAUGUUUGUCAGUUAUCUGCUUAUUGAGUUAUUGUUGAAUGAUUUACUAGAUGCAGUUUGUGUUCAAUAUCAACUAUGAAAAUUUCAGAUCUUCAAACUCAAAAUAUGCCAUAAUUAAGCUAGCAUGUGUCACAUUGCUGCAUGGUCAGCAAUCCAUUAUUCUAGUUUUGCUUUAUUUUUUACGUCCAAGAUUAAUUAUGCUUAGACAAACAACUACUAUAAUUCUUUUGUGGUAGAGUUCUGUUUGAAUCUAUGUAAAAUUAUGUUAAUGAGGAUUUAUCAACUGGAGACCCUCAUUUUCUCAGAAAGGUUUAGAGAUCCUUUUACAAGUAUUCCCUCUGUGUUUUUUUUUGCCUUUUCUUGUUUCAUAUUUGUUUAAUUUCAUGUUGGGUCUUUUUCCCAACUGGGCCAUGUUAUUGAUUUGAAGUUUGUUUAAAUUUGUUGCAGCUCCACUUUCAGAAACUGAAACCGCCUUGAUGGAGCUUUGAGUCAGAAUUUUCAGCAUUUUUCUUUAUGUAUGUGAUAGAUUUGUAUAACAACGGAUUUGAUUGUGUAUUAGAUCAGGAACUAUUAAUCAUUAUGCGAUUUUUCUUUUCUCAUUUACAGUUUUUUAUUGGAUAUGUUUUUUUGAGGAUUCAACUGUGGAGUAUCCAAGGUUGCCGAAGUCCCAUUCGUGCCUUUCCACGAUAAUUAAGAGGUUUGCACCCGAC
rnacentral:lncRNA from 1 species